AAGGUAGUGGCUUACCAAGGUUGCAACGGGUAACGGGGAAUCAGGGUUCGAUUCCGGAGAGGGAGCCUGAGAAACGGCUACCACAUCCAAGGGAGGCAGCAGGCGCGCAAAUUACCCAAUCUAGACAGUAGGAGGUGGUAAAGAGAAGUACUUAGUGGUGGCCAAAUGGUCCCAACUUGGAAUGAACGUAAUUUAAGCAAUUCGUUGAGUAACUACUGGAGGGCAAGUCCUGGUGCCAGCAGCCGCGGUAAUUCCAGCUCCAGUGGCGUGAUUUAAAGUUGCUGCGUUUAAAACGCUCGUAGUUGGAUCAUGCAGUGGUGUUCAGUAACACAGUUUGGUGUAUGCAUACGAUUGCUCGCAAGAGUUGAUUGGAUCUUCAUCAAGCUGUGUGUUAAUGCUGAAUGCCACUAUUUGCACACAAGUAUGACACUUUACCUUCAGUGAGUGAAGUGCCAUGUCUUGUGGAGUGUGCCUUGAAUAAAACAGAGUGCUCAAAGCAGGCGUAUGCUUGAAUGUUAUAGCAUGGAACGAACAAACGUGUAUUUGCAUAUGUUGAGUGGUGGGCAGAGGCAACUUUGUCCAUUGCCGGCGUAUGCAGCACCCGCCCAAAAUACGGAUGUUGGUUUUCGUAUCAGGUGAUGAUUAACAGGAGCGGUUGGGGGCAUUGGUAUUUGGCCGCGAGAGGUGAAAUUCUUGGACCGGCCAAGACUAACAGAUACGAAGGCGUUUGUCUAGACCGUUUCCAUUAAUCAAGAACGAAAGUGGGAGGUUCGAAGACGAUCAGAUACCGUCCUAGUUCUCACUAUAAACUAUGCCGACCUGGGAUCAGCUUAGUGAUUAACAAGCUCUAGGUUGGUCCUCCUGGGAAACCUCAAGUUUUUCGGUUACGGGGAGAGUAUGGUCGCAAGUCUGAAACUUAAAGGAAUUGACGGAAGGGCACCACCAGGGGUGGAGCCUGCGGCUUAAUUUGACUCAACACGGGGAAACUUACUCGGUCAGGACAUCGAAAGGAUAGACAGACUGAUAGAUCUUUCUUGAUGCGGUGAGUGGUGGUGCAUGGCCGUUCUUAGUUCGUGGAGUGAUCUGUCAGGUUUAUUCCGGUAACGAACGAGACCACCGUCUCCAUUUAAGAAGCAGUAGCAGGCCGUUGGUGGGGUGUUGCUUCGGUGGUACCCCAUCGUCGGUCGCAGGUAAGAUUGUUAAAUUCCAUGGAAGUGGUGCGGGAGGGCAACCAAACGUGUCAUGACUGUGAAAGGAGAUGAUCUUCCCUACUGUUAAGCAGUGGUGGGCAAAACCUACACGCUGCCUUCUGGAGAGACAACAGGUAUGUAAAAACCUGAGGAAGUGUGGCUAUAACAGGUCAGUGAUGCCCUUCG
rnacentral:rRNA from 1 species